AUUGAACGCUGGCGGCAGGCCUAACACAUGCAAGUCGAGCGGAAACGAAGGGAGCUUGCUCCCAGGCGUCGAGCGGCGGACGGGUGAGUAACACGUGAGAAUCUGCCCAUUAGUGGGGGACAACUCGGGGAAACUCGAGCUAAUACCGCAUAAUCCCUACGGGGGAAAGCAGGGGACCUUUGGGCCUUGCGCGGAUGGAUGAGCCCACGUCGGAUUAGCUUGUUGGUGAGGUAAAGGCUCACCAAGGCGACGAUCCGUAGCUGGUCUGAGAGGAUGAUCAGCCACACUGGGACUGAGACACGGCCCAGACUCCUACGGGAGGCAGCAGUGGGGAAUCUUGGACAAUGGGGGCAACCCUGAUCCAGCCAUGCCGCGUGUGUGAAGAAGGCCUUCGGGUUGUAAAGCACUUUCAGCAGGGAGGAAGGCUUUGGCCGAAUAGGUUGAAGUACUUGACGUUACCUGCAGGAGAAGCACCGGCUAAUUUCGUGCCAGCCGCCGCAGUAA
rnacentral:rRNA from 1 species